AGGGACACAGAAUUAAAGAUAUAUAUUUUUCUUUUUACUAUGAUUCAAAUGAUGUUGUGAUCGUGUUUAAAGAGAAAACAUUUUUUGUAGAAGGGAAUAAAACCUAACCAAACAUAACCUAACCUCUACAACGGUCAUACUCAACCUGUAUGGGGCAAAAUGCGGGCUGCAAGUUGACCAGGCAAAUCAUCAAACAUGUACCUGUUUAGAUGGAAGAUGAUGCCAAGUGCAUCAUUUCGGGGUUUGGAUAAGAAAAAAAAAAAUUCUUCACAUAACUAGUGUGAGAAAGAAGAAGAUAUGAAAGGGGGAUCAACGAUGAUGACGAGGAUAACGAUGAUGAAGAUGACUUGGCACGUAACUGCCACGCCCUCUUUUAAUAACCUGGAAUCUGGGAUCGUUCGGGGUCUAAAUUUGGAACGGGAGGAAGUCAGAAGGCAAAAUACUCUUUCAGAAAGAAACAGAGUGAGAGAGAGAGAGAGAGAGAGAGAGAAGAUUAUCCCCCCUUCCUCUUUUCAUCCUUCUCCUACUUCUUCCUAUAUUUCUCUCAUUUCUCCCUCUUUCACCCCAUUUUCCUUCCUCCUGCCCGUAAAUGGAGUCACUUAUAUUUUCAGCAACGAAACAUUACUAAACUCUCCAUCUUUUUUUCCUCUCUCUCACUCUCAUUCCAUUAAGAAAAUGUUGAAUUUUUACUAUUACUACU